AAAUCAAGCGCGAAAAGGGCGUUUGGUGGAUGCCUUGGCAGUAAGAGGCGAUGAAAGACGUGAUACUCUGCGAUAAGCCAUGGGGAGCUGAGAAUAAGCUUUGAUCCAUGGAUUUCUGAAUGGGGCAACCCACCUGAUACUUUGUUGUUAUUGCUCGCAAGGGCAGCUAACAGCGGGGUAAAACAGGUAUUUGUAGACUGAAUACAUAGGUUUACAAAAGCAAACCCGGGGAACUGAAACAUCUAAGUACCCGGAGGAAAGGAAAUCAAUAGAUACUCCCCUAGUAGCGGCGAGCGAACGGGGACCAGCCGAGCCAUGAGAGUGAAUAGAAUAUCCUGGAAAGGAUAACCAUAGUGGGUGACAGUCCCGUAUAUGAAGCUCAAUUGGACGUAUUAAGUAGGGCGGAACACGUGAAAUUCUGUCUGAACAUCGGAGGACCACCUUCGAAGGCUAAGUACUCCUUACUGACCGAUAGCGAACCAGUACCGUGAGGGAAAGGUGAAAAGCACCCCGACGAGGGGAGUGAAACAGUACCUGAAACCGAACGCCUACAAUCAGUUGGAGGGCCCUUGAGGCCUGACAGCGUACCUUUUGUAUAAUGGGUCAUCGACUUGGUCUACCGAGCAAGCUUAAGCCGUUAGGUGUAGGCGCAGCGAAAGCGAGUCUUAAUAGGGCGCAUGAGUUCGGUGGAUCAGACCCGAAACCGAGUGAUCUAGGCAUGUCCAGGAUGAAGGCAAGGUAACACUUGCUGGAGGUCCGAACCCACACCUGUUGAAAAAGGUCGGGAUGAGGUGUGCCUAGGGGUGAAAGGCCAAUCAAACUCGGAGAUAGCUGGUUCUCUGCGAAAUCUAUUUAGGUAGAGCGUCGGACGAAUACCCUCGGGGGUAGAGCACUGAAUGGGUAAUGGGGGCCCACAGCCUUACUGAUCCUAAUCAAACUCCGAAUACCGAGGAGUAAUAUCCGGCAGACACACCACGGGUGCUAACGUCCGUGGUGGAGAGGGAAACAACCCUGACCUACGACUAAGGCCCCUAAUUCAUGGCUAAGUGGGAAAGCAGGUGGGACGACCAAAACAACCAGGAGGUUGGCUUAGAAGCAGCCAUCCUUUAAAGAUAGCGUAACAGCUCACUGGUCUAAAUAAGUUGUCCUGCGGCGAAGAUGUAACGGGGCUCAAGCCAUGAGCCGAAGUCUAGGAUGCGAUUUAUCGCAUGGUAGCAGAGCGUAGUGUGACAUAAUUCCAUGUCUCCUUACCUUCUUCGGAAGGAUUGGAGACGCGGAGUUUUCUGUGAAGCCGGCCUGUGAGGGAUCCGGUGGAGAGAUCACUAGUGAGAAUGAUGACAUGAGUAGCGACAAAGGGAGUGAGAGACUCCCUCGCCGAAAGUCCAAGGGUUCCUGCUUAAAGCUAAUCUGAGCAGGGUAAGCCGACCCCUAAGGCGAGGCCGAAAGGCGUAGUCGAUGGGAACCAGGUUAAUAUUCCUGGGCCAUGGAGUGGUGACGGAUCUGAGACGUAGUUCAUCCUUAUCGGAUUGAAUGGGCUGCUAACAGGUUCCUGGAAAUAGCCCUCCUAUAAGAUCGUACCCUAAACCGACACAGGUGGACUGGUAGAGAAUACCAAGGCGCUUGAGAGAACCACAUUUAAGGAACUCGGCAAAAUACCUCCGUAAGUUCGCGAGAAGGAGGCCCGUUCAGAACGCAAGUUUUGGGCGGGGGCACAAACCAGGGGGUGGCGACUGUUUACUAAAAACACAGGGCUCUGCGAAGUCGUAAGACGACGUAUAGGGUCUGACGCCUGCCCGGUGCCUGAAGGUUAAAAGGAGGAGUGCAAGCUCCGAAUUGAAGCCCAGGUAAACGGCGGCCGUAACUAUAACGGUCCUAAGGUAGCGAAAUUCCUUGUCGGGUAAGUUCCGACCUGCACGAAUGGCGUAACGACUUCCCCGCUGUCUCAAAUGUGGACUCAGCGAAAUUGAAUUUCCUGUCAAGAUGCAGGAUACCCGCGGUUAGACGGAAAGACCCCAUGCACCUUUACUAUAGCUUCGCAUUGGCAUCAGGCACAGUAUGUGCAGGAUAGGUGGUAGGCUUUGAAGCGG
rnacentral:rRNA from 1 species